GCUAAAUACAAUCUCCCAGCAUCCCUAAAUCCGGAGCGAGCACAGAGCUGUGGCGCGCUAUAAUGCCAUGACCAAUAUUUUCCCGCGCUGCUCUGUUCCACAGCACAUUUUGCCCACCAAAGCCAACAUUCCUACCUCUGAUCAAAUUUAGGAUUUCAAAAUCGGAUACAUGGCGGUGCUCAAUUGUAAGCACCACACUCUUCUUCAGGCGUUGAUGAGCCGCGGCCCACUCCAGGAGAACGAAUUCCACAAGAUCUUCGCUGCCGUCACCGGAAGAAACCCACGUAUUUUGCCUCUCUUCUUCCUUAAUUUCUUUUUUCUAAUUUUUUUGAAUUAUAGAAAGAAAUGCCUGUUUGGCUGCUGAAAAUCCAAUAAAUUUGAAGUAACUCUAGCUAAUGUAGAUAUUUGAAGGUUUGUUAAUGAUGAUUUAGUGGUGGAUAUUACAUUUUCACCUAGGUUCUCAUGAGCGUGAUUUCAAUGAUUUCCUUCUGAAGAUAAACAAGGAACUUUCAUAUGUUCAAAUGGAGUUGCGGCACUGCAGAAACCAGAGUGAUGGUCAAGUUUGUUAUGGACUUGUUAAUAAUGUUUCUGAUGAACAAUCCAAGCUUGGAACUAAAUACUCUGUUCCACAGAUUGCUCUGUAUAAGGGUGUUAUGGAAGCAAUAGUGCAGGAUGCCACGGCCCAAGGUUUCAUAUCCACCAUUGAUGCUCUCAAUAUACGGCUGGAAAACCAGGUUCAUAGUGGGACAGGAUCACAAUCACAAGGUGGUUCAUCUCAAGUCCCUCCCGCAUUAAGGAAUUUCUCUAUGUCCCAGAAGGAAAAAACUCUUGAUGAACUUGUGCAUGACAGGUGGCUUUGUCUUACCCCUGAUGGUGACAUUGGACUUGGUGUCAAAUCCUACCUUGAUUUGCGAAGUUGGUUUCAUAAUUCUGGCAUUCCAACAUGUGAAGUAUGCAAUGAAGCUGCAAUAAAGGUUUUGCUGCUUUGAUACCCAUCUUCACAUUGGAGCAAAUUCAGUGACUUUUAGUUGAUUGUGCACAUAGUUAUUAAGCCCUGUGCCCAGUUGGAUGGCAUGAAUUAGCCCAUCAAUCGGAAUAUCUUUGUGCAUUGCUCCUCAUGCUUCUGAGAAACGACAAUUAUUUUCAAAUGGUCAUUCUUAUCAACAUUCAGCUAAUACAGCUGUUAAAUGGGCUUGCUGAUGGGUACAUUAAUGUUCAUACUUCAUAUAGCUUCAAAGCAGGAUAUAUUUGCAGAUGUGCAUAGUUUUAGAAGGGGAAUGCAAUUUUGCUCUCACCAUUUACCUUGAGGCUUGAGAUAAUUGCAGUACUGUUUGUUAACUUUAUUAACCACAACUGCCCAAUCAAUUUGCAAUAAUUAGGGCUGUGUGAUGAACCACUAUUUAUGUUCUAUCAAAUCUGGUGAUUUGUUCUGGUUAUUUCUGACAGGCAAAAGUGUGCCAAAAUGAAGGUUGUACACUACGAAUUCAUCAUUACUGCCUGAAGAAAAAAUUUUCCCAAAGCAGGGGUAAAAUAGAUUGUCCAACUUGUGGCACGCAAUGGAAUGUCAAAUUCCCAAAUCUGAAGUAGUAGAGAUAGAGGAUGAGCUGAAUGAGCCUAUUGAGAGCCAACCACUUGCAAGAUCCAACAGGAGGAAGCUUAAAACCAACAGAAAUACUGAUGCAGAUACUGUUGGAUGUGGCUCUGGCUAAUCUCAAGGAUCAUCAUCUGUUUCUGAUCUGAGAAGAGUGACUCGGUCAUUGGCUAGAACAAGGUAAAAGUAUCUAUUUAGUCAUUGAAUAUUCCUGUAUACUUUGAUACAAGCUAACUCUUUUGGAUAGAUUUUAUCAGGCAAUGUUGUUCAACUGAUUUAGGAUGUUAUUCAGCGGAAUUGUUAUCAUACAUUAGAUUAAUGAGUUGAUUAAAAAUUCUCUUGUUGCAAUGGACUUUUUUUAUUAUUAUUUUUUCUUUUAAUGUUCUUGUUGUUAGAUUAUAGUGACAAAAUGAUGCGUGAACGCUUGGG
rnacentral:misc_RNA from 1 species